rnacentral:lncRNA from 1 species
GUGUGCCAUUACAAAAAAAACUUAAUUUCUUAUCAAAUUUUUCAAAUGGUCAACUUUUUAGGGUAAAGUAAAGCAUAGUGUUCAAGACUGUAAUAUAAGUAGUUUUUAUGUGUUUCCCUCAGUUUUAGUUUAUAACCCAGAUUUGUUUUCUCUAAAUCAAUUUAUGACUUUCGAACAGCAGUAUACUACUGUUGCUUUUAUUUAGGGUGUUACAAUUUUCAUCAUUGUGAAAAUUAUCAGAGAAAUAAUAUUAACGAACAAUAGCCAUUCUUGAAAAUAGAAUAUGUUGGUAAAUAUUUGUUUCUUCUUUAAACUGUAAAUUGGC